GUGCCAGCCGCCGCGGUAAUACGGAGGGUGCAAGCGUUAUCCGGAUUUACUGGGUUUAAAGGGUGCGUAGGCGGGCUUUUAAGUCAGCGGUGAAAUCUCCGGGCUCAACCCGGAAAUUGCCGUUGAUACUAUUAGUCUUGAAUUAAGUUGAGGUGGGCGGAAUAUGUCAUGUAGCGGUGAAAUGCUUAGAUAUGACAUAGAACACCGAUUGCGAAGGCAGCUCGCUAAACUUAUAUUGACGCUGAGGCACGAAAGCGUGGGGAUCAAACAGGAUUAGAAACCCUCGUAGUCC
rnacentral:rRNA from 1 species